rnacentral:rRNA from 1 species
UACGUAGGGUCCGAGCGUUGUCCGGAAUUACUGGGCGUAAAGAGCUCGUAGGUGGUUUGUCGCGUUGUUCGUGAAAACUCACAACUCAAUUGUGGGCGUGCGGGCGAUACGGGCAGACUGGAGUACUGCAGGGGAGACUGGAAUUCCUGGUGUAGCGGUGGAAUGCGCAGAUAUCAGGAGGAACACCCGUGGCUAAGGCGGGUUGCUGGGCUGACACUGACGCUGAUGCGCGAAGCCAGGGGAGCGAACGGG